rnacentral:rRNA from 1 species
UACGGGGGGGGGCAAGCGUUGUUCGGAAUUACUGGGCGUAAAGCGCGCGUAGGCGGCUUUGUAAGUUAGAGGUGAAAGCCCGGGGCUCAACCCCGGAAUUGCCUUUAAGACUGCAUCGCUUGAAUCCGGGAGAGGUGAGUGGAAUUCCGAGUGUAGAGGUGAAAUUCGUAGAUAUUCGGAAGAACACCAGUGGCGAAGGCGGCUCACUGGACCGGCAUUGACGCUGAGGUGCGAAAGCGUGGGGAGCAAACAGG